rnacentral:rRNA from 1 species
GAAGGGGGCUAGCGUUGCUCGGAAUUACUGGGCGUAAAGGGAGCGUAGGCGGGUUAUCAAGUUGGAGGUGAAAGCCCAGGGCUCAACCUUGGAAUUGCCUUCAAAACUGAUAGCCUAGAGUAUGAUAGAGGUAAGUGGAACUCCGAGUGUAGAGGUGAAAUUCGUAGAUAUUCGGAAGAACACCAGUGGCGAAGGCGACUUACUGGAUCAUGACUGACGCUGAGGCUCGAAAGCGUGGGGAGCAAACAGGAUUAGAUACCCUGGUAGUCCACGCUGUAAACGAUGAUUGCUAGUUGUCAGCCGGCAUGCCGGUUGGUGACGCAGCUAACGCAUUAAGCAAUCCGCCUGGGGAGUACGGUCGCAAGAUUA